AGGGUUUGAUCAUGGCUCAGAAUGAACGCUGGCGGCAUGCCUAACACAUGCAAGUCGAACGAGAUCUUCGGAUCUAGUGGCGCACGGGUGAGUAACGCGUGGGAACCUACCUUUUAGUACGGGACAACGUUUGGAAACGAACGCUAAUACCGUAUACGCCCUCCGGGGGAAAGGUCAGCCGCUAAAAGAGGGGCCCGCGUCUGAUUAGCUUGUUGGUAAGGUAAUGGCUUACCAAGGCUACGAUCAGUAGCUGGUCUGAGAGGAUGAUCAGCCACACUGGGACUGAGACACGGCCCAGACUCCUACGGGAGGCAGCAGUGGGGAAUAUUGGACAAUGGAGGCAACUCUGAUCCAGCAAUGCCGCGUGUGUGAUGAAGGCCCUAGGGUUGUAAAGCACUUUCAACGGUGAAGAUGAUGACGGUAGCCGUAGAGGAAGCCCCGGCUAACUUCGUGCCAGCAGCCGCGGUAAUACA
rnacentral:rRNA from 1 species